ACCAGCAUGGUACAGUGGUUUGAGUGAUGGACUGUGACUCUGGCGACCAGGGUUCAAAUCCCUGCUCAGCUU
rnacentral:tRNA from 1 species